GGCCAGCAGCCGCGGUAAUACGGAGGGUGCAAGCGUUACUCGGAAUCACUGGGCGUAAAGAGCGUGUAGGCGGAUUAUUAAGUCAGAAGUGAAAUCCUAUGGCUCAACCAUAGAACUGCUUUUGAAACUGGUAAUCUAGAGUAUGGGAGAGGUAGAUGGAAUUUCUGGUGUAGGGGUAAAAUCCGUAGAGAUCAGAAGGAAUACCGAUUGCGAAGGCGAUCUACUGGAACAUUACUGACGCUGAGACGCGAAAGCGUGGGGAGCAAACAGGAUUAGAUA
rnacentral:rRNA from 1 species